rnacentral:rRNA from 1 species
UAGCCGUAAACGAUACUCGCUAGGUGUCGGCCACGGUGCGACCGUUGUCGGUGCCGUAGGGAAGCCGUGAAGCGAGCCACCUGGGAAGUACGGCCGCAAGGCUGAAACUUAAAGGAAUUGGCGGGGGAGGCACAACAACGGGUGGAGCUUGCGGUUUAAUUUGGAUUCAACGCCGGAAAUCUUACCGGGACCGGACAGCAACAUGAAGGCCAAGCUGAAGACUUUGCCGGAUUAGCUGAGAGGAGGUGCAUGGCG